rnacentral:ribozyme from 12 species
UUCUUUUCUUUUCUUUUCUUUUCUUUUCUUUUCUUCUUCUUAUUUUUCACUCCACCAUGCAUGUGCAUGACAAAGAAAACUCAAGCCCACCGGAAGUUUCAAG